rnacentral:piRNA from 1 species
UUACUCCUUUUUUUGAGGCAAGGUCUC